rnacentral:rRNA from 1 species
CACUCCUACGGGAGGCAGCAGUGGGGAAUAUUGGACAAUGGGCGCAAGCCUGAUCCAGCCAUGCCGCGUGAGUGAUGAAGGCCCUAGGGUUGUAAAGCUCUUUCACCGGUGAAGAUAAUGACGGUAACCGGAGAAGAAGCCCCGACUAACUUCGUGCCAGCAGCCGCGGUAAUACGAAGGGGGCUAGCGUUGUUCGGAUUUACUGGGCGUAAAGCGCACGUAGGCGGACUAUUAAGUCAGGGGUGAAAUCCCGGGGCUCAACCCCGGAACUGCCUUUGAUACUGGUAGUCUUGAGUUCGAGAGAGGUGAGUGGAAUUCCGAGUGUAGAGGUGAAAUUCGUAGAUAUUCGGAGGAACACCAGUGGCGAAGGCGGCUCACUGGCUCGAUACUGACGCUGAGGUGCGAAAGCGUGGGGAGCAAACAGGAUUAGAAACCCGAGUAGUCCCAU